GACGAACGCUGGCGGCGCGCCUAAUACAUGCAAGUAGAACGCUGAAGGAGGAGCUUGCUCUUCUGGAUGAGUUGCGAACGGGUGAGUAACGCGUAGGUAACCUGCCUGGUAGCGGGGGAUAACUAUUGGAAACGAUAGCUAAUACCGCAUAAGAGUAGAUGUUGCAUGACAUUUACUUAAAAGGUGCAAUUGCAUCACUACCAGAUGGACCUGCGUUGUAUUAGCGAGUUGGUGGGGUAACGGCUUACCAAGGCGACGAUACAUAGCCGACCUGAGAGGGUGAUCGGCCACACUGGGAGUGAGACACGGCCCAGACUCCUACGGGAGGCAGCAGUAGGGAAUCUUCGGCAAUGGACGGAAGUCUGACCGAGCAACGCCGCGUGAGUGAACAAGGUUUUCGGAUCGUAAAGCUCUGUUGUAAGAGAAGAACGAGUGUGAGAGUGGAAAGUUCACACUGUGACGGUAUCUUACCAGAAAGGGACGGCUAACUACGUG
rnacentral:rRNA from 1 species